AUUAUUCCAAGAGAAAGUUAGAAAGUGCUACAACAACUUUUCCAUCCACUCCAAUAUUAGUAGAAGAAGACAAUUUGACUCAAAACCUUUGUCAAUUUGGAGAGGCCUUUAGGUAAAAUGGCUGAAAAGGAACGAUUGAAAAAGAAAAAGGGAAAAGACUGUUGUAAAAGAAUAAAAGAAUAAACAUGUGGAGCUCACUACUAUUCAUUACUGUUCAUUUUUGAUAGAGUUUGUCUGUCACGGGUGAACAGUGAUUACUGUUCAUUUUUGAUAGAGUUUGUCUGUCACGGGUGAACAGUGAUUACUGUUCAUUACUGUUCAUUGACGGCUUUGAUAGAGUUUGUCUGUCACGGGUGAACAGUGAUGAAUAGUGAUGAAUAGUGAUUAUUUCAGCCUAUAAAUAAGAAGAGAAACGGAAAGAAGAAGAGAAGAAAAAAGAGAAAGAAAGAAGAAGAGAAGAAAAAAGAGAAAGAAAAAAGAAGAGAAGAAAAAAGAGAAAGAAAGAAGAAGAGAAGAAAAAAGAGAAAGGAAGAGAAGGAAGAAAGAGGAAAGAGAGAGCAGAGAGAAAUUCUCCUAGAGAGAAAAUUCAGUGAGCCACAUAUAUUGUAAACACUAAACUUGUAGCCCUAUUAUUUUACAUAGUGGAAAAGUUACUGCUGCUGCUCUCCGAGGACGUAGGCAUAGCCGAACCUCGUUAAAUGCUGUGUCUCAUCUACUUUACGUGCAGCUCUGAAUUAUCGCACAUAUCCCAGGUUAUUUUAUAACAAAGACCAAAUUUAUGACAAUAUGACUACGCCUACUUUAUUGCUCUUAGAAAAAUACAUAGAAGAGAAAAAAGAAAUGGAGAGCAAGAGAAUGGAAUUUCAAGAACGAAUUAUUAUUCAAGAGCAAGAAAAGAUUACCAUUGAGCAAGCUAAAAUUUGACAAAGAGAUGAGCAAAGGGAAGAAAGGAUAAUGUCACAAGAUACAAUUGGGAUGCC
rnacentral:lncRNA from 1 species